UGGAGACAAGGAUUGAAGGGAACCCCUAGCACCGGAACGACUAGUAGAGGCACCUGGCAUAGAAGAGCCCUGAACUGAUGGAGCACAGGACGAACUUUAAGCUAGGAGGGAACUAAGUGAUGACUUGCCCUGACGAGAACUGUGAGAACCAUGACCUGAUGACGCCUUAUGAUAACCUGGCCCAGUUGGCUGAGCAUGCCCGAAUGGACGGCCUCUGUCAUGCUGAAACUGACCUCUCGAAGGAGCACCACCAUAACUACGAGAUUCUCAAAGCUUCUUGGACUCCCUCUCAUCUUUCUCCUGGCGACGAACUGACUCAAUAUCACGAGCAAUGUCUAC
rnacentral:lncRNA from 1 species